UCAUCUGUAUGAAAAAAGGCAAAUAAGCAAGUUCUUUUAGGCAGAAUUUUUAACAGUGACCCCAUUAACCUCACUGGACAGAAUUUAUCGCUGAUGUAACUCAAACAAUACCAGUGGAGUGACAGCAAGGAUGAAUUUGACCCAUUUUAGCUACAAUUGCACUCAUUUCCCUCAACACCCCAGGCAGAGACUUCAUAUGGUGAUGAGCACUUUUCACCAUGUUCCAAGUGUGAAAUGUUGCUGAACGUAAAGUUUAUAAAUUAAAAUCGGCACUUUUGAGUCUGUAGUUGUCAGAGAACAUCCUGCUGAGAAAACGGUAUCAUUUGUGAUUCCAGCACUUGUUUGGCAAUCCCCUGCCAAAAGAGACCAUAAGUCAGAUCCUUUUCUGCUGGAAAUGUCUUCUUUUGGGAGGAGAAGACCGAGUCUUCAGGUGCUGUCGCUACAGGCUCUGCAGUGCCAUAUUCUGGUCCCGAGGAACAUCCCUAGCAGAAGACAGGGUGCCAAUUUAAUCUCAACUUGUCCUUGUCUUGGCUUCUGUUUUGGUCUCAGUGCUAAAAUAGUAGCUCCUGCUCUUUUCUUUACCCAUUCGUAUGCUGUGGUGGUGAUAUCUGCUCUGUUAGAAGGGGAAGAAUUGCCUCGGUGGACAAUGUGUUUUAAUGGAGUUCUGCAACGGGGGAGGUCCUGAUAGGUAGCAAACACCUUGGCUUUAUCAUUUUCCUUCCACCUUUCAAAAAAGCUGUAGCAGACGUGGGUCAGAAUUUGACUCCCACAUAUUCGGUGAUGUAAAUUGUUCUCCAUAUGCUCGCUACGCUUAUUUCUAACUUUUUUUUUUUUUCCUUACAGGAAGUCUCCUCUAACACUCUUGAAAGGCUGUUUCUGUGCAGAGAAGUGGAAGCAAACACUUGUAAAUUAUUUUCUGUGACGGAUACAGGCAAAGGACAAGAAGUUGUAGAGUAGCUGUACACACAGGUGCAGGUGCUCUUUGGGAAGCAGACACGGCAGGCAGGGAGAGACGAACUGCUAAACUAAUACCAGCUUUGGAAAACUUCUGUAAAGAGACCAUGAUGCACCGCCAGCUUCAUUACGCUUGGAUCCUACCUAAAUGAGGGUCUCUCACUGGCUGUGAACAUCAUUUGUGCCUACACUGCAAGUAUGAUGCCAGCCGACACUAGGAGGAAAAGGUUUAAAUGUUACUACCAAUGAAACUGAUGAAUGUAGAGAUCUUGGCUGUGUGGAUUUUUAGGAGCAUGCUCAAUGGAGAGAAGUAGGAGUUAUGUUGGUAAGUGAGGUGCUUCCUGCUGAAAGGAGUAAAUACCCAUCCCUACUGCCUUCCUGCUGUGUCCAGGAGAAGGAAGUUACCUUUCUGAUGCUAUUUUACUUAAUUGGUUUCUGCAUGUGAAGAAGCAGUGGACACAGCUGGGCUGGUGGGUUUCUGCAAAUGAGCUAAGAGUCAACAGUUUGUUUUUUUUUUUAAUUUUUUUUUUCACUUGUCAAAUCACAGCCACCAGUUUAGAGGAAGAGCUGCAGCAGGUGAUGGAAGAAGAAGAAGAAAAAAAAAAGCUAACUUGAUGUGUUGAUCCUUCUGGUUGCUUUCAUUUGACUUUGCCUGAUACAACUUCUGAGUUUUUAUCAGGUCUUUUUAUAUUGUUUUCUUCCUGAUUGACACUCCCAGGUUAUUCUAAAACCUUGGAUCAAGUAAGGUAGCUAAGAUGUAGUGAGCGGAUUCUUUCAUGUUGGAAAUUCAUUGUCAGAUUUGCUACAUAAAACAUCCCCUCAUUUCACAGAAGAAAUAACACCAUCUCUUUCAACAUCUUGUUUUAGGCUUCUCAGUGUAUUUCCUAAAAGACUGAUGGACAAGAUAAUUUGACUGACACGAACCCAGUUUCUCCUGACAACCCACGCACAAGCAAAAUCUGACAGCUGCCUUCCAAACAUCUCUGUGCCUCUGAAGUUCCAGUAAAUGCUUCUUCUGGGCCCCUCUCUCCUGUGUGUUGCGCCAAUGGUGGCCAAAAUCCACAGAGCAGGCGUGCCCUGUCUGAAAGUGUUUUAUCUUGCGUAAUAUAGCGAUGACUGAGUUAUUGCAAGUGAGGUGCACAGAAAAGUCUGUGGGUGACACAUCUGUAAGUGUUGUAUGCUGGUAAUCGCAGAGAUGUUUUCCCUCGGACUGUGUGGUAAAAUAACCAGAAUGCCUUAGUUUUAUGUUUCUGUAGCACUUUUGAGAUUCUCUGUCUCCACUAUGGGCUAGUAAGCCAAAUACUGAUGAUGUGGGACAAGGGAAUCCACAGGAUUCAGUAUCAUUAUGAGGAAAAAACUAGUUCCCAUGACAAAACAGCAAGUGACAGCUACCUGUUGGCUGCUUAGGCAGUACCAAGCUUGUGUGUCUGUAUUUCCGUUAUUUACUCUUUUUUUUUUGGUCUUGCCAAAGUAGCCAAAGUCAUGGGAAGUUUUCUAGAACUUAGGGUAAAUAGGGACAGAUAAAGUUGCAUAAUAUUGGGUUUAUGGUCAAAACAUAAACCAAAUUUCCAGCCCAAUUGCUGGUUGGAGAAACUGAAGUUUAGUUUUUAAGUUUAAAAAUAUUAAUGAUUUUUUACUUGUAUUUUUUAUUAUAUCUGCACCUUGUUCCCAUUUCAGCUGAGAUGAGGAAGAGAAAGUAGUUUUAAAAAAAAACCAAACCAAACCAAACAUGUGGGGGAGCCCUCUCUGGCAAUUUUUUUUGCCCAGCUUAAUCAAAUAAUUGGAAGUCUUAUGAAAGAAAGAUGGAAAGCAAAUGUUCUUGAGUGAUUUGCAGUUUGAUUUUCAAAACAGCAAGCUAUGGAUAAGUCUAUUUUGCUUGCAGUCAGUUGUUUAUCUGAACUGAAGUGGAAUGCUAUGCCAAUAUAAAGAUAUUUAUUUGCAUAUGCUUUUUUUUUUUUUAAAGUUUUCUCUGGGAGUUCAUUUUUGAAGUUAUUGACUUCCUAGCAAAUCACGUUCUUUUGUUGCACUAAGCUAGGAAACAAUCAAGUCUCCAGUGCUGAAUUUGGCUAUGUGUUUAUUUUGCCUUUUUGAAAGCACAUUUUUGUACAUUUUUAUCUACUUCAAAAGUAGGUACAUUAAAGAAAGGGUCAGGAGAUGAUGACUGUAGUUCACAAAAGAAACAGUCAUGUGGAGUUGCAAGAAUUUAUUGAGGUCAAUGCUGACAAGAAACUGAUAGACUAAGUUGAACAGUCUACUGAUCUUCAGUGUAUUUUUUCCAGUGCUCUAAUGAAAUUACUGUCACCAUUUUCUGAAUGUUAUAUGUGCUGUCUAUCUUUCUGUGUGUGCUCUCUAUCAUUAUUUUCAUCAGAACACCGUUAAUAUUACUUCUUCCCUCAUCUGGCAGGUUUCACUGUACCUAACUAAGCAAUUCAUCAGGUUUCUUUGCCUUUGACACAACCUUUUGCUGAUGGACACGUAUCUCCUGAUCACACUGUAUAUUGCCAAAGUAAAAAAUGAUGAAACCAAGCUGAAAGAGGAUGAAACCGCAGUAACAGAAGUUCGUUUCCCUAACUUUUCCCCCUAAGACUGCAUAUUUUUUUGGGUGGAGGUUAUAAUUAAAUGACUUUAACAUAGAAAGUUUCUAGUACACAAGGCUUGCAUUAGAAAACUCAGGUGUUUUGGUAUCACCUUGCUAAGAGGUGCACCUUAGUUCGUUUGCAGCAGCCUUAGCUUUGUAGACAACUUCUCUCCCACUCCCUCCACAGUGCUGACAGCUGCAAGUCUCAUUUUUAGAUAUUAUGAAGUUUCUGCACUUCUUCUCCAGCCCAUAUCAGUCUUUCUCUCAUUUCUUCUCUGUGUUGGAAUCGGCUCUGGUGUGUCUGUGAGCUAACUACUUGCAUGCGGGCUUACAUUGCUUUUCUCUCAACUAACCCAGUGCAGCUUUACCACUUGGGGGAACUGAUGCUUCAGAACUAGCAGUUUUUUAGCCAGCUCAGGGACAUGUAUUGAAGAAAAGCUUGUCUGUGAACUCCCUAGAGCAUUACAAGGGUUCAUAGGCUUUCAGUCCUAUAGUCAGGCAGUGAUCUGCAAUGUUGCUUUGCCAUUAGCUGCAUAUGCACAGAUGUGUUGGCCGUCGCAAGAGAUGACCCUCAUUUUCAACGCCUACUUCCUAAACACUAUCAAUCAUUAAAAGACUACGUGUCUCCUUGAUUUUAAUAAUGGGCAAAGCACAUUACUAGGAUUUCACCAUC